UCCAUGGUUGCACGCCAACCUUGCAUGGAUGACAAGCCAUAUCUGAGGCUAUAAUUCUCACCGUCCUCUGAGAACUUAUCUGUUUUAGGAGAGCUGAGGUAUAUACCCAUCUCUACCUGCCCAACUGGGCUGUGUACGGAGCUAAAGAUCAGAAGCAAAUAGUAGAAAAAGAAGCAGGGACCGAUCCGUGUAUGGAAUUGAAUUGUUCCCAAAAUUUGAUAGGAGGAG
rnacentral:misc_RNA from 1 species